rnacentral:rRNA from 1 species
AUUUGGACAUGGGGGAAACCCUGAUCCAGCCAUCCCGCGUGUAUGAUGAAGGCCUUCGGGUUGUACAAGUACUUUUGGCAGAGAAGAAAAGGUAUCUCCUAAUACGAGGUACUGCUGACGGUAUCUGCAGAAUAAGCACCGGCUAACUACGUGCCAGCAGCCGCGGUAAUACGUAGGGUGCAAGCGUUAAUCGGAAUUACUGGGCGUAAAGCGUGUGUAGGCGGUUCGGAAAGAAAGAUGUGAAAUCCCAGGGCUCAACCUUGGAACUGCAUAUUUUAACUGCCGAGCUAGAGUAUGUCAGAGGGGGGUAGAAUUCCACGUGUAGCAGUGAAAUGCGUAGAUAUGUGGAGGAAUACCGAUGGCGAAGGCAGCCCCCUGGGAUAAUACUGACGCUCAGACACGAAAGCGUGGGGAGCAAACAGGAUUAGAUACCCUGGUAGUCCACGCCCUAAACGAUGUCAACUAGCUGUANGGGGCCGUUAGGCCUUAGUAGCGCAGCUAACGCGUGAAGUNGACCGCCUGGGGAGUACNGUCGCAAGAUNANNACUCAAAGGA